CCUACGGGGGGCAGCAGUGAGGAAUAUUGGUCAAUGGACGAGAGUCUGAACCAGCCAAGUAGCGUGAAGGAUGACUGCCCUAUGGGUUGUAAACUUCUUUUAUAUGGGAAUAAAAUGUUCCACGUGUGGGAUUUUGUAUGUACCAUAUGAAUAAGGAUCGGCUAACUCCGUGCCAGCAGCCGCGGUAAUACGGAGGCUCCGAGCGUUAUCCGGAUUUAUUGGGUUUAAAGGGAGCGUAGGUGGAUUGUUAAGUCAGUUGUGAAAGUUUGCGGCUCAACCGUAAAAUUGCAGUUGAAACUGGCAGUCUUGAGUACAGUAGAGGUGGGCGGAAUUCGUGGUGUAGCGGUGAAAUGCUUAGAUAUCACGAAGAACUCCGAUUGCGAAGGCAGUUCACUGGACUGCAACUGACACUGAGGCUCGAAAGUGUGGGUAUCAAACAGGAUUAGAUACCCGAGUAGUC
rnacentral:rRNA from 1 species